rnacentral:rRNA from 1 species
CCUACGGGUGGCUGCAGUGGGGAAUAUUGCGCAAUGGGCGCAAGCCUGAUGCAGCCAUGCCGCGUGUGUGAAGAAGGCCUUCGGGUUGUAAAGCACUUUCAGCGGGGAGGAAGGCGGUGAGGUUAAUAACCUCAUCGAUUGACGUUACCCGCAGAAGAAGCACCGGCUAACUCCGUGCCAGCAGCCGCGGUAAUACGGAGGGUGCAAGCGUUAAUCGGAAUUACUGGGCGUAAAGCGCACGCAGGCGGUCUGUCAAGUCGGAUGUGAAAUCCCCGGGCUCAACCUGGGAACUGCAUUCGAAACUGGCAGGCUAGAGUCGUGUAGAGGGGGGUAGAAUUCCAGGUGUAGCGGUGAAAUGCGUAGAGAUCUGGAGGAAUACCGGUGGCGAAGGCGGCCCCCUGGACAAAGACUGACGCUCAGGUGCGAAAGCGUGGGGAGCAAACAGGAUUAGAUACCGAUAGUC